AUAUAUAUAUAUAUAUAUAUAUAUAUAUAUAUAUAUAUGAAUUUUCUACAUGUUAUCUUAAGAGUUUUUCCAUUGUUUUAGUAUAACAUUAUAAUACCAUUCAUAUUUACUUUUUUUGUAAAAACUUUUUAAUAUAAUUUAAAGAAACCAAUCCGAUUUAUAGUUGCCAUUUGAGGCUUAAUACUAUAGAAAAGCACUCAAAGUUUUUUAGCUUGUUUAUUUUACUAUGAAAAUAUGGUAUGCAGUUGCAUCAAACAAUGGUAUAAACAUCAAUGUAAAUUGUGAGAAUCCUAAUUAAUAAAUCACAAUUACAAUUUCAAGGCAAUAAUCUACAAUUAUGAUUUUUGUCAUAAUCAUACAGCCAUAACUACAGUCACAACAAUGACAGCUUCAGCAAACAUAUUGCUGUACCCUAAAGAUUUGCAACACAUAAAAUGUGGGCAAUUCCCAUUUAAUCUCACAAGCCUGCUUUUAAUUAAAACAAUAGUGCAUUCAAUGAUACAUUCAUUCAUUCUGUUAUUGUUUUGGUCCAGCUUAGAAUGAAUGAAUGAAUGAACUAAUUAAUUAAGCUACAUUAGCUAACACAUUGUCAUCACAAAUCAUAAACUAAUACAAAAAAAAAGUGUCUAGAAAGUGUCAACAAUCACUCUACAAUGUUUGUUUUGAUGGAGUAAACAUCACAGGGGGUGGGGACAGAAUAUGCUUGUGACCUCACUCCAUUCAUGUUUUGCCUGUAGCCAUUCAACCAAUCCCAUCCCACGUGUGUCUAAAUGUCCAGGUCAUCAAUUGCACUUCGUACGGUCCCAGGGACGUGUCGGACGGACGUCUUUUCAACGGUCAACAGACGUCCGAAUGUUUGCUGGGACGGCACGAAAUUUUUUUUUUUUUUUUUUUUUUUUUUAAUAUCAUGACAUGGCGGAGCGCAAGAAAAAAAUGCAUUCUGAAGCUGCUCACUUAGGCGAUCUGGCUCGUCUCAGUCUGCUCAAUCGUGGUGAUGUCAGUGCCCUAAAAGAUGUUAUAAUGGACUAUUUCACAUCCAGAGAUGAAGGAUUGGAUGAAGUUACUAAAGAGGAGGAGUCCGAUGACAGUCUGUUAUAUGCACAGUUGCCAGAUGCUGUCCUGUCGGAAAUUCUUCUUCACAUGGUCCUGGAGGAGGGUGAUGCUGCAUUAUUAAAUCUGUCUUUGGUUUGUUCCAAAUUCAGAAGUCUGGUGUAUACAGAAUCAUUUCAGAAGAAGGCACAUUUCUCCUGGCUUGACAGUGUAACAAAAUGGAGAACAAGUCUGAGCCACGCCAGGAAUUCUUCAAAAUGUACACAGUGCAACCCUGCAGACACUGCCAUGAGGUUUACAAGUACUGCUUACCAGGUGUGUAAAUUAAGCAUGAAAAUGUGAUCACUGCUAGAUACAUGAUGACAAAAUGCAAUGGGAAUAAUCAUUUUAUUAACAGUAGACAUGCAUGCACAGCCAUACCUCAGGAUUGUUGUUAGUGAUUCUAAUUGAUAUUUCCGUCUGCUUGCUUACUGGAUGUAUUUUAUACUGUUUACAUUGUAUAGCACUGACUUUGACAACAUACCAAGCCUGUUACAAAUUUAACAGCUACGUUAUUAUAUGUAUAAUUGUUUCUUGAAAUACUACAAAUGUAAAAAAUAUAACAGCAAAAUAUGAUUUUAAAUAAAGGUAAUUGAUGAGACA
ensembl:lncRNA